GAUGAACGCUGGCGGCGUGCCUAAUACAUGCAAGUCGAGCGAACAGACGAGGAGCUUGCUCCUCUGACGUUAGCGGCGGACGGGUGAGUAACACGUGGAUAACCUACCUAUAAGACUGGGAUAACUUCGGGAAACCGGAGCUAAUACCGGAUAAUAUAUUGAACCGCAUGGUUCAAUAGUGAAAGACGGUUUUGCUGUCACUUAUAGAUGGAUCCGCGCCGCAUUAGCUAGUUGGUAAGGUCACGGCUUACCAAGGCAACGAUGCGUAGCCGACCUGAGAGGGUGGUCGCCCAGCCUGGAACUGAGAAACGGCCCAGACUCCUACGGGAGGAAGCGGUAGGGAAUCUUACGCAAUGGGCGAAAGCCUGACGGAGCAACGCCGCGUGAGUGAUGAAGGUCUUCGGAUCGUAAAACUCUGUUAUUAGGGAAGAACAAAUGUGUAAGUAACUAUGCACGUCUUGACGGUACCUAAUCAGAAAGCCACGGCUAACUACGUG
rnacentral:rRNA from 1 species